AUGGUUAUGUUCUCUUUCGUUUGAGAUAUCAUAACUUGGCAUUUAUAUAUUUUUUUAAAAGAAAUCAUUUAGUGAGUUUCAUUGGUUGAAUCAGCAUUUAUUGCUUGUCCCAAAUUGCUCUUGUGAGGAUUGUGGUGAGCUACCUUGUUGAACUGCUGCAGUAUGUUUGGUGUAAGUACACACAAAAUGCUGUUGGAGAGGGAGUUCCAGGUUCUUAACCUGGCAUGUACGACUGAACGAACACCAAAAUAUUUCCAACGCAGAUUGGCAAAUGGUGGCAAUUUUAAUUUGAAUUUAUUAACCCAAGCCUAGGUGUUGUCCCAUGUCUUGUUGAAUAUGGACACAGACUGCUUCAGUAUUUGAGGAGUCACAAAUGGUACUGAACAUUUGAAACCAUCUUUGACUGUGUCACUUCUAAUCAUGUGAUGGAGGGAAAGCCAUUAUGAAGCAGCUGAAGAUGAUUGGUCUAGGACAAUCACCUCAGGAACUCUUGCAGUGAUAUCCUGGGACUGAAUUGAUUAAUCUCAAAAACUACGACUAUCUUAUCUGGUGUUAGGUAUAACUCCAAUCAGCAGGCAGUUUCCCCCAAUUUCUGUUGAUUCCAAAUUAACUAGGGCUCAUUGAUGCCAAAUAUUGCCUUGAUCUCACUCUAUCUUCAUCAUUAGAGGUCAGCUGUUUUCUCCUUGUUUGGAUCAAACUGUAACAAGGAAUCUCUGCUCUUUUUGGUGACUUCAAGUGUGUUCUCAUCCACAAAUCUAAUGCAGCAGCUUUUUCCACUCCACAAAGCCUCUGUUCAUUCUCCCAGUCAUGCUUGAUUCCAAGAGGAGUGCCAAAUUAUGCAUCCAUGUCUGGAAACAACUGUGGUGUUCACAAGCUUUGAAAUCAGCAGAAAGUACCUGAGAACCUGCCAUUAGUUUUUGGAAUAACUUGGAUAACUAUAGAAGCUGCAACAGCCAGAAGAAUUAAACAAGCAACUAACCUGUGACAGAGAUGAAGUGAUAGUAUCUGCCAACUUUUAAAAAUGACUUGCCUGCAAGAAAUGAUCGUGCUAAUUUCCAAUGGGAAGAGCUGCAACAUGUGCAACAAGCUCAGUUUACAUGAAAUCUUUAUUUUCUGUGCCCUCCCCAGACCGACUUACUUGUGGAGCUUGAAAUUCAACUUUUACAUUCUUUGAUUGUUUGUCCAGGGCCUUACAAAACAAUUACCACAGAGUAGGCACUAAAGAAACUGAUGAUUAUAAGGACAUGAGCUUUGUAUGACUGAGCAAUGACUAUAAAUAGUGCUUCCUCAUAGCUAUGUGAUAGUUAUUAGCCUAAGUCUUAUCAACAGUUUAUUUAAACAAUGAAAGUUGUUCUUUGAUUGAAACUCUAUUUGUCUAGCCAUGAAGAAAAUAAGCAAGGAGAAUUUCAGCUCACAC